UACGUAGGUGGCAAGCGUUGUCCGGAAUUAUUGGGCGUAAAGCGCGCGCAGGCGGUCCUUUAAGUCUGAUGUGAAAGCCCACGGCUCAACCGUGGAGGGUCAUUGGAAACUGGGGGACUUGAGUACAGAAGAGAAGAGUGGAAUUCCACGUGUAGCGGUGAAAUGCGUAGAGAUGUGGAAGAACACCAGUGGCGAAGGCGGCUCACUUGGCCGAUAACUGACGCUGAGGCACGAAAGCGUGGGGAGCAAACAGG
rnacentral:rRNA from 1 species